rnacentral:rRNA from 1 species
AUUGAACGCUGGCGGCAGGCCUAACACAUGCAAGUCGAACGAGUGGCGGACGGGUGAGUAAUGUCUGGGAAACUGCCUGAUGGAGGGGGAUAACUACUGGAAAAGGUAGCUAAUACCGCAUACCAUCAGAUGAACCCAUAUGGGAUUAGCUUGUAGGUGAGGUAACGGCUCACCUAGGCGACGAUCCCUAGCUGGUCUGAGAGGAUGCUCAGCCACACUGGGACUGUGACACGGCCCAGACUCCUACGGGAGGCAGCAGUGGGGAAUAUUGCACAAUGGGCGAAAGCCUGAUGCAGCCAUGCCGCGUGUAUGAAGAAGGCCUUCGGGUUGUAAAGUACUUUCAGUCGGGAGGCGUUACCGACAGAAGAAGCACCGGCUAACUCCGUGCCAGCAGCCGCGGUAAUUC